rnacentral:rRNA from 1 species
UGGGGAAUAUUGCACAAUGGAGGGAACUCUGAUGCAGCGACGCCGCGUGAGUGAUGAAGGAAUUCGUUUCGUAAAACUCUGUUCUAUGGGAAGAAAAGGACUGUACCAUAGGAGAAAGCUCCGGCUAAAUACGUGCCAGCAGCCGCGGUAAUACGUAUGGAGCGAGCGUUGUCCGGAAUUAUUGGGCGUAAAGGGUGCGCAGGCGGCUUUACAAGUUGGAUGUGAAAUAUUGUGGCUCAACCACAAACGUGCAUCCAAAACUGCAAAGCUUGAGUUAAGGAGAGGUAAGUGGAAUUCCUGGUGUAGCGGUGGAAUGCGUAGAUAUCAGGAGGAAUACCGGUGGCGAAGGCGACAUACUGGACUUAAACUGACGCUCAGGCACGAAAGCGUGGGGAGCAAACAGG